GUGAACGCUGGCGGUAGGCCUAGCACAUGCAAGUCGAACGGCAGCACAGUAAGAGCUUGCUCUUACGGGUGGCGAGUGGCGGACGGGUGAGGAAUACAUCGGAAUCUACUUUUUCGUGGGGGAUAACGUAGGGAAACUUACGCUAAUACCGCAUACGACCUACGGGUGAAAGCAGGGGAUCUUCGGACCUUGCGCGAUUGAAUGAGCCGAUGUCGGAUUAGCUAGUUGGCGGGGUAAAGGCCCACCAAGGCGACGAUCCGUAGCUGGUCUGAGAGGAUGAUCAGCCACACUGGAACUGAGACACGGUCCAGACUCCUACGGGAGGCAGCAGUGGGGAAUAUUGGACAAUGGGCGCAAGCCUGAUCCAGCCAUACCGCGUGGGUGAAGAAGGCCUUCGGGUUGUAAAGCCCUUUUGUUGGGAAAGAAAAGCAGCAGGUUAAUACCCCGCUGUUCUGACGGUACCCAAAGAAUAAGCACCGGCUAACUUCGUG
rnacentral:rRNA from 1 species